GCUUAACCUGCACAUUUAGAAAACAUAUGCAGGGCUGAGUACUAAAAAGGUACUCAAUGGUCACAUGCCGAAAUAACUUUAAAGCUUGCUCUUAGAGCUAUAUAUUGAACUUGCCAUCUCAAGCAUCACACAGGAGUUUUAUUUAAAUAACAUGUGCAUGCAAAACUGUAAAACUUUCCUGUAAUUAUCAUAAACUUCACAUGCGUCUGCAGACAUACUUCUUUGUACUCUACCAUAUCUGCAAUGAUAACUGUGUGCCGAGAAGGUGGCCACCUUCUACGGUCACUGACCGGCCGAUACGCUAAACCGGCUCACGGUCCUAGACCGGCCGAUACGCUAAACCAGCUCACGGACCUAGACCGGCCGAUACGCUAAACCGGCUCACGGUCCUAGGCCGGCCGAUAUGCUUGAUCGGCUCACGGUCCCUUGUGUACACUAAUCCUGUCUAACAUCUGGAUAGAACAUGAUCCGAAUUCGAUUAACUUCUGGUGCCAGAUAGGUAUCAUACAAGCUCAUAAAAGUUUUGGUAAGUCAAUAACUUUAAUAUAACCUUACUCAUGUAAACAUCAUUAAAUAGUGUGCACUUCACAUUUGAGUUUAGAAAGCCCACCUGAUCGUGGUCUAACGACACAAGUAACUCUGAACUAAUGCUUUACUUCUUUUCCCUUGUAUUUGACCUUCAGUAUUAAUACUGACUAAUAAAUAAUGAGGAAAAUGAUAUGGACUGAUUUAUAAAGAAUGCUUAUGUUGGUUUUAAGGUGAUAGUUCUAUUGGAACUUAUGAAAUGAUGACUGAUUGCUACCUGGUGAACUUAUUAAUAAAUACCAACAUAUUAUCUAAACCAAAACUUAAACUACGAUAAUCGUAAUUCUGGCAUUAAUCAUAACUCUACUCGCUCUAAUUUAAUAAGUAGCUAUCAACUGGAAAUAAUAUAUAUAUUGUCUAAUUUAUACAUAAACACAUAUGAUUUAUGUAUAAAUUAAUUUUAAUGAACUAAAAUAAUUCUACAUGUUUAAGCCAAUUUAAUAAAUCAAACUAAUUAUUAGCUAAUAAUCUUUCAUUUAAGCUUAAAUUAAAAUACUACUGAGUUCAAUCAAAUAAUUAAUGGCCCAACUUAACAAAUUAAUUCUAUCAUCUUAUGUACUCCCAAAGCCCAACACAAUUUAUUAUUACUAAUCCCAUUGAGAUUAAUAGGCCCAAGUACCAGCUUAAACCCAAUUACUAGUUUGAGCCCAAUUAACCAAUUUCAGAUUUAAAUAAAUAAAAAUUAAUAACCUUCUUUAAAACAUAAAACAAGUUAAUCUCUCUCUGUUUUCUAUUUCUUCCCCACGCAGACAUCUCUCCCUCUCUUCGCUCCCUCUCUCGGCCGCCUCUCUCUCCCCCCCUUCUCCGGCGAACGUCGCCGGCUCGCGCCGCUUCCGGCGCGGCGAGGCUGACGCAUCUUCUCCCCUUCCGCUUUCUUCCCUCUCCUUCCUACCCCUCUUCUUCCUCUUUCUUCCCUAUUUUCUUCUCUAAUUCUAAAAUUCCUAACUUAUAUAUAUAGGGUUUCUGUCUCUCUUUUCCCCUCUGAGAUUCGUCCCUCCGGUAAUCCCUGCCGCACCGCCGCCGUCUCCGACGCACCACCGGCCUCUCCAUCCCAGGAAUGGGUGAUUCGAGAUGGUUUCAUCGUGGCAGUUCAUCUACAGCCCAAGACUCUCUUUUUAUAAGACAGCCUUCUAUUUGGAUUAUUAUUGAUUUAUAAACUGUCGUAACCAGAUGUAUUCUGUAGAUGUUAAAGGAAAUUGAUAUUAUCUCUGCUAUUUUUUAUUACUAUCUAUGAGUGAUUACUGAGUUGUAAGAAGAAUACUACCUGCUUGUUGCUGUGAUAAUUGCUGGGGAUGAACUAUAUUUGGAUGAA